UUCGCAAAUGUGGCACUUGUUCCUUUUCUUUCCCAGCUGGCGUCUGUUCCUCUCCCCACUCCCUAGUUGUCUUCUCCUUCUCCUUUUCUCUCCUCUUUCCAUUACAUUUCUCCACCUUUUCCCUGGUACCACCACCACCCCCAUUCCCCUCUCCUCCAGUAAAACUACAAAAAACCCUAACCCCCAUAAAACCCAAACCCCUGUCGCGAUGAAAUCUCCACCCCCAAAUAGCUCUUUGGAAUAGAAUCAAGGAACUUACCAAAUCCAUUACAUCCUAUUUGGGUUUUGGCGUGUUUCCGGUGUGAAAGAAGGAAAAAGAAAUGCCUACAGGAAUUUAAGGGCAAGGUUGCUGGUGAUGCAUUUGUUAGUGGGAUUAUCUAUAGCUUAGCUUCUGAUCAAAGCCUUUUCCAGCAAGGGUGCAGAAAAAUAUUUCAAGCAUGGAUCGCGUCUAAAAUGGCAUGAAGGAGCUGUUUCAAGGGAGAGCAUUAGUGCAGUGAAGAAGCUUGGUCAUCUUAAGAUAUUGUAUCACAAAAUGUGGACUCUUCAAGGCGAAGCAUAAAAAUCAAAUAAAUGAAAAAUUAUUUUUACUAAGGAUGAAGUCUGCAAUGCCACAAAAUUUGAUCUACCAAAUAAGGAUAGAAAGGAUUCCCAAGGAAUAUGCUUUUUGGGCAAGGUGCUGGAUUUGGAUCUAAGAGAAAAUAUAUGUUUCGGAAAGUAACCAUCCAGCUCAAGCUUGUGGAGGGUGACUCUGUUGAAACUGGACCAUUUCUAUCAACUAGAAAGUUCAAGUCUUUUCAGCUCAAAGCUGAAUUUUGGGAAUCAAUUAAAUAUGGACUUGGCGAUUAAGGUCAUUCUCUAAUGUUGAUAAUAGCCCAGCAUCUUUGCUAGCUUUUAGUGGCAACAACAAUGUACAUGCUUUAUAUGACUUUUUACUAAAUUACAGAUUUCUAUUGACCUCACUAUCUAGUGUAGACGUACCUGUCUUAUGCUCUCCUGUGCCAUUUCAAAAUUCUGCUUUGUCUUCUCUUGACGUAUGUCCUUGGCUCAAUAUAGAUUUUGUUUAUUUGUAUGGUAACUUUUAAAAACCUUUGACCAACUUUGUGCAUGUGGUGACUAGCUAGAUCAAGUUUAUAUUGAGCUCAAGUUAGACUGUCUCUUCUGCUCUCAUGUUUGCUUUGUUGUAUGGUAACUCUUAACUAUAAAUAAUUGCAUUUUCAUGAAGCAAAUUUUUAAAGUUUCUUACUGCUA